CCUACGGGAGACAGCAGUGAGGAAUAUUGGUCAAUGUGCGCGAGCCUGAACCAGCCAAGUAGCGUGAAGGAUGACUGCCCUACGGGUUGUAAACUUCUUUUAUAAAGAAAUAAAGUGAGGCACGUGUGCCUUUUUGUAUGUACUUUAUGAAUAAGGAUCGGCGAACGCCAUGCCAGCAGCCGCGGUAAUACGGAGGGUCCGAGCGUUAUCCGGAUUUAUUGGGUUUUAAGGGAGCGUAGAUGGGUUGUUAAGUCAGUUGUGAAAGUUUGCGGCUCAACCGUAAAAUUGCAAUUGAUACUGGCAGCCUUGAGUGCAGUUGAGGUAGGCGGAAUGCGUGGUGUAGCGGUGAAAUGCUUAGAUAUCACGAAGAACUCCGAUUGCGAAGGCAGCCUACUAAACUGCCACUGACAUUGAUGCUCGAAAGUGUGGGUAUCAAACAGGAUUAGAUACCCUAGUAGUC
rnacentral:rRNA from 1 species